CACUCUAAUGAGACUGCCGGUGACAAACCGGAGGAAGUGGGGAUGACGUCAAGUCCUCAUGGCCCUUAUAGGUGGGGCUACACACGUCAUACAAUGGCUGGUACAAAGGGUUGCCAACCCGCAGGGGGAGCCAAUCCCAUAAAGCCAGUCGUAGUCCGGAUCGCAGUCUGCAACUCGACUGCGUGAAGUCGGAAUCGCUAGUAAUCGUGGAUCAGCAUGUCACGGUGAAUACGUUCCCGGGCCUU
rnacentral:rRNA from 1 species